rnacentral:lncRNA from 1 species
AUGAUGGAUGCUCCGCUGUGGAACAAGGGCCUGCUGGAGAGUCUCCACUUUGGAGAUUUCUCUGUUUACAAAGAAAAGGAAGACAGGUGGGAGAAGCUGGGGUUCCCACAGGACAACACAGUGCGUUGUGCAGCCUCCUUAUGGAACUGCAGGAACCGGGGUGCCAGGUGCCCUCCCAGGAGCCUGGACACUGCCCAUCGCACACCAGGAUGCUCAGGCAUGAAGAACAAAUGGCAGCACCUUCGCCCAGUUAAGUUUAUAAUGAGCAGCCUGAACUGGGUUCUGUCCAUCAGGGAAGACGCAGGAGAUCGGGAGAGAACAUCAGUCCCUCUGCAGUGUUUCCUACAGGGAGGAAUCCAAUCGCUGUCAAAGAAUUCUUCUUAUCCUACAAGACACUUGGCUCUUUUUAAAAUUGUUUGUUUGUGUAAAGGUGGAGGACGAACUUCAAAAGAUGUCUCGUGGUAGACACCAGCCAGUUCUCAAAGUAGUCUGCGCAUUUCUUCUGGGCUUUCGAGACAUUUUCAGAUGAACACGUGCUUAUUUAUGAGCUCGGGUCUGCGACAGUCCCUGCCACAGCCCCUCGCUCCCAAAUGCCACCACCUUCUGAGGCUGGACCCAGGAAAUUAAGAUGCACCAGGAAACUCAACUUUCUGUUUUACUCGCCUAAAACUUCAGGACAGAACUCUGUUCAGCUCUGCUCAGGAUGUGCAUUGUUUAGAAAAGUUUUACAAAAAAAAAAUUGUUUUUCCAGUCCUAAGUGUAUCUAAGCCGUCCCAUUCCUCUGCAAGGCUGAGGACACUAAGGUAAGAGUAAUCCAACCAGGGAUGGCAGCCAGCACUCUGGGAGGCUAAGGCAGGAGGAUCAUAAGUUCAAGCCCAGCCUGGGCAACUUAAUGACCUAGCAAGAUUCUGUCUUAGAAUAAAAAAUGUUAAAAGACUGGGGAUGAAG